UGGGGAAUUUUGCACAAUGGGGGAAACCCUGAUGCAGCGACGCCGCGUGAUUUAGAAGGCCUUCGGGUUGUAAAAAUCUUUUUUAUGGGAUGAAAAUGACAGUACCAUAAGAAUAAGGUCCGGCUAAAUACGUGCCAGCAGCCGCGGUAAUACGUAUGGACCGAGCGUUGUCCGGAAUCAUUGGGCGUAAAGGGUACGUAGGCGGCCCAGUAAGUUAGAAGUGAAAUAAUAUAGCUCAACUAUAUAAAGCUUUUAAAACUGCUAGGCUUGAGAGAUGGAAGGGAAAGUGGAAUUCCUAGUGUAGCGGUGAAAUGCGCAGAUAUUAGGAAGAAUACCGGUGGCGAAGGCGACUUUCUGGUCAUCAUCUGACGCUGUGGUACGAAAGCGUGGGUAGCAAACAGG
rnacentral:rRNA from 1 species